UCUCCCAGAUUUGCACAGAAAGAAAGGAAAAGGAGGGAGGGAAAGAAAGGAAAGGAAGAGAGAGAAGAGAGAAAGAAAAGAGAGUGAGAGAGAGUGGAGGCGUGAGCACAUCCGUCCGGUCAGAUGAGCCAGGUACAGGUGUUGAAGAGCGCGGGGUGGACCUGGAACCUGCUACCACUGAGGAGGAGUACUAAGACGAGGAGUUGCAACAGGAGGAGGCUACCUACUUUGGCUUAAACCAAUAGUUUAGUUAUCAUGGUUACUUUUUAGACAAUUACAUUUCUUUUUUUGAAUUUUAUAUAUGGCCCCAGUUGAGUGGCCUUGAAUAUUCAUUUGAGUUGGGAUAUAUCUAAGCUACGCUUGUUUCCACAAA